rnacentral:rRNA from 1 species
AGUGAACGCUGGCGGUAGGCCUAACACAUGCAAGUCGAACGGCAGCACAGUAAGAGCUUGCUCUUACGGGUGGCGAGUGGCGGACGGGUGAGGAAUACAUCGGAAUCUACUUUUUCGUGGGGGAUAACGUAGGGAAACUUACGCUAAUACCGCAUACGACCUACGGGUGAAAGCAGGGGAUCUUCGGACCUUGCGCGAUUGAAUGAGCCGAUGUCGGAUUAGCUAGUUGGCGGGGUAAAGGCCCACCAAGGCGACGAUCCGUAGCUGGUCUGAGAGGAUGAAUCGCCACAACUGAAACGGAACAAGGUCCAGGCUCCUACGGGAGGCAGCAGUGGGGAAUAUUGGACAAUGGGCGCAAGCCUGAUCCAGCCAUACCGCGUGGGUGAAGAAGGCCUUCGGGUUGUAAAGCCCUUUUGUUGGGAAAGAAAAGCAGCAGGUUAAUACCCCGCUGUUCUGACGGUACCCAAAGAAUAAGCACCGGCUAACUUCGUG